UACAGAGGGGGCAAGCGUUGUUCGGAAUUACUGGGCGUAAAGGGCGCGUAGGCGGCCGCCUAAGUCAGACGUGAAAUCCCUCGGCUCAACCGGGGAACUGCGUCUGAUACUGGGUGGCUUGAAUCCGGGAGAGGGAUGCGGAAUUCCAGGUGUAGCGGUGAAAUGCGUAGAUAUCUGGAGGAACACCGGUGGCGAAGGCGGCAUCCUGGACCGGCAUUGACACUGAGGCGCGAAAGCCAGGGGAGCAAACGGG
rnacentral:rRNA from 1 species